rnacentral:tRNA from 1 species
GACCGCGUAGCUCAGUUGGAAGAACAUUAGUCUAGUAUUCCAAAGGUCGUAGGUUCGAAUCCCACCGUGGCCG